GUCUGUUACUCAUUGCCACCUUGGUGUCACGAAAGCUAGUCUGAAGGGCACUUCUCCUUGUUGCUGCUGUGUGAAGAAGGAGGUGUUUGCUUCCCCUUCCGCCAUGAUUGUAAGUUUCCUGAGGCCUGCCCAGCUCUGCGGAACUAAUGGAGAUAACUCUGGGCCUGACUUCCCUGAUUCUUCCCUUGACAUCCUCAAAGCUCUGGCCGGGCGCGGUGCCUCACUCC